UGGUCCGAGAGGAUCCCACAUGCCGCGGAGCAGCUAAGCCCGUGCACCACAACUGCUGAGCCUGUGCUCUAGAGCCUUCGAGCCACAAUUACUGAGCCCACGUACCACAACUACUGAAGCCCGCGCGCCUAGAGCCUGUGCUCUGCAACAAGAGAAGCCACCGCAAUGAGAAGCCCACGCACCACGACGAAGAGUAGCCCCCGCUCGCCGCAACUAAAAGAAAGCCCGUGCACAGCAACGAAGACCCAAAGCAGCCAAAAAUAAAGUAUGUGGAAAAAGCAUUUGGUACAGGUGCCGGAUCUGGCUCUGCUAACUACCAGCUAAGACCUCAGGGUCUGUUUCUGGGGGAGCCUGUAGCUCCUAAGAUGGAAAAGCAUGUACAGGGCCUGGAAGAAGCGAGGAGGUGCCUCUCACUGGGAAGAUUUUGGUGGUGAUUUUGAUUGACCACUUGGACCAACUCUGCCAUGAAUAUCGUUGAAGAUCUGACCAUUACAUUCCCAAUAACUGUUGCUUCAAUUUCCAUUAGAUGGAUUUCAAGCAGAGGAAUGUCUGUUCUACUCCGUCUGUGCACGGCCUGUUUUCACACAUCCCUAUUGUCUCUCAGCGUUUGAAGAAAAGCAGCCAGUUACUGCAAUGUGUGACCAUUUACCACUAAUGACGCUGGUGGCUCUUUGAAUGGAAGGAGUCAAUACUGAGUUUGAAGUGAUUGAAGAAUUAGCCUUUAUGAAUAGCCUGCAUGGAAUAACCACAGGUUAGAUGUUUGGUUGCCUGCUUUACGGCAGAGGCAUCUCGUCAAAGAUCCCGAGGAAGCAAAACAUGGGACGAAGAAAUAUUAGCUCCUUCACUGUGUUCCUGGAUAUAAGAUGUCAUACGGGAAAUUUCAAGGUACGAGCCAACAAAACAUCAAAGAAGGUAUGUUCUCUAGUCAAGACCCCAGAAGUUACAGACUCAGUCUCGUGGACGUCAUUGAAGAGUGAUCAUUUCUUCCCUGGAGACUCCAAUAAAAAUACCAACAUUUACUCUUAUGAGACCAAAUUGGGUUAUAUCUAAUUGUUACUGGGUAGGGGUCAGGUGAAAUAUGCUAACUAGCUAAGUUCGGGUCAUAUGCUCUGAAUCUGGAGGGGAACUAUGCCAAUCCCAUGUGAGACACUUGAACUGAGAUCAGGAGUGAUUUCUUAGGAAUACUGUACUGUGGUUUCAGAAUGAGAGGCAAAGGUGAUGUGCUGAGCAGUCAAAAUCAACCCACAUCCAUCAUAGUCAGCCUUGCUGUCAGCUGCAUUCUGACCUUGGAUUAGCUGUGGAGAACAUGGCUGCCAAGGUUACUACUGUAAAAACAACAAAUAAGAUAUCAGGAUCUUAACCAAAUAAAGUUUUAUUAUUAACUCCAAUAGAAUUGUCUCUGAUUAGACAGUUUUUCUGGAAGGCUCCCCUCAAAGCAGGGAGUUGGUGAUUCAAGCCCCUUCCAUCUUGUGGCUCUACCAUUUUUUAAUCAUUAAAGGACUGUCCAAUAUUCCAUCAGUUAGGGAAAAAGGGUAGAGAGUCAUGUAUAUGAUGGUUUUAUGGGAAGGCCUGGAAGUGGCAAAUACUAUUUCCCUCUAUGCUAUGAGGAAGUGUGAAGAGGCUGGCAAAUUUAACUUAUCUUUGUGUCCAGUGGAGGAAGUAUAUGGUUUGUUGAAUAGUCUCUACCACUAAUCCUAUGCUUCAAAUGAGUUACUGGCUUCUCCUUGGUUUCUUCAGUGAAAUAUUUUGCUCUAAUCCUAAUAACCAGCGGCUUGCCUUGUUUUCUAUGUCUGAGUCUCUGCCUAUAAAUUAUUCUA